rnacentral:rRNA from 1 species
UACAGGGGGGGCAAGCGUUGUUCGGAAUUACUGGGCGUAAAGGGCUCGUAGGUGGCCAACUAAGUCAGACGUGAAAUCCCUCAGCUUAACUGGGGAACUGCGUCUGAUACUGGAUGGCUUGAGUUUGGGAGAGGGAUGCGGAAUUCCAGGUGUAGCGGUGAAAUGCGUAGAUAUCUGGAGGAACACCGGUAGCGAAGGCGGCAUCCUGGACCAACACUGACACUGAGGAGCGAAAGCCAGGGGAGCAAACGGG